rnacentral:rRNA from 1 species
AGAGUUUGAUCCUGGCUCAGAUUGAACGCUGGCGGAAUGCUUUACACAUGCAAGUCGAACGGCAGCACGGGGGCAACCCUGGUGGCGAGUGGCGAACGGGUGAGUAAUACAUCGGAACGUGCCCAGUCGUGGGGGAUAACGUAGCGAAAGCUACGCUAAUACCGCAUACGAACUCUGGUUGAAAGCGGGGGAUCGCAAGACCUCGCGCGAUUGGAGCGGCCGAUGGCAGAUUAGGUAGUUGGUGGGGUAAAGGCUCACCAAGCCGACGAUCUGUAGCUGGUCUGAGAGGACGACCAGCCACACUGGGACUGAGACACGGCCCAGACUCCUACGGGAGGCAGCAGUGGGGAAUUUUGGACAAUGGGCGCAAGCCUGAUCCAGCCAUUCCGCGUGCAGGAUGAAGGCCCUCGGGUUGUAAACUGCUUUUGUACGGAACGAAAAAGCCUGGGCUAAUACCCCGGGUCCAUGACGGUACCGUAAGAAUAAGCACCGGCUAACUACGUGCCAGCAGCCGCGGUAAUACGUAGGGUGCAAGCGUUAAUCGGAAUUACUGGGCGUAAAGCGUGCGCAGGCGGUGAUGUAAGACAGGUGUGAAAUCCCCGGGCUUAACCUGGGAACUGCAUUUGUGACUGCAUCGCUGGAGUGCGGCAGAGGGGGAUGGAAUUCCGCGUGUAGCAGUGAAACGCGUAGAUAUGCGGAGGAACACCGAUGGCGAAAGGCAAUCCCCUGGGCCUGCACUGACGCUCAUGCACGAAAGCGUGGGGAGCAAACAGGAUUAGAUACCCUGAUAGUCCACGCCCUAAACGAUGUCAACUGGUUGUU